GCCCCCAUAGCUCAGGUGGAUAGAGCAAGGGAUUCCUAAUCCCUGUGCCGGGCGUUCGAGUCGCCCUGGGGGUA
rnacentral:tRNA from 1 species